rnacentral:snoRNA from 1 species
AAUCUGUGGUACGACCAUUUUUUAAUCAAUGUUUUGAAGUGCUCUCAUGCCUCAUGGAAACUUUCCCCUUCCAUCUGUCUAAGGACAGCAAUCUCUCUUCUAAGUUA